AUACAUCAUAAUUAAAAUCUAAUUUAAUAAAUAUAAUCUGAAUCAUCUAAAGAUUCUUUAUAUUUCUAGGCAUCGAAUAAUUCGAAACACCAUCUUUAGAGGAGAAGUGAUUGCUUGAUCUAUGAAAAAUCGAUAUUCAAUAUUUAUAAAUUUUUAACGUAGAACUAUUAUUAUAAAUAUUAGGGUAAACUUCAAAUAUCACUUCUGUGAUUUCGCACUUUCUCAUUUUAAUAUUUUGUGGUUUAAAGUUUAUUAAUUUAGUACCAUAUGGUUUCAUUUUCUCUUUUUGUCAGCUCCUCCGUUAAUAUUUUAUUAAAUUAUAUACAAAAAAACUUCAGACACCCUACCUAGCUUUAUUGAAUAUUCAUUUUAGUACCUUUUAGUUUUAACUUUGUCACUGAUUUAACGAAAAAAAAUUAAUAGAGGGUAUAAUAAAAUGAAAAAAAUAAAAUCACGGGAUACUAAAUUGAUACACUUCAAAUCAAAGGGUACUAAAAUAAAAUAGUACAAAAAUACAGAGGUGGUAUUUGUAGUUUUUUCUAAAUAUU
rnacentral:lncRNA from 1 species